ACGGGGUGCACCAGGGGCGAAACCUCCACAACGCGCGAAAGCGUGAUGGGGUUAUCCCGAGUGCCGUCCGAUGAGGAUGGCUUUUCAUCGGUGUAAGGAUCCGAUGGAAUAAAGGGGGGGCAGGACUGGUGUCAGCCGCCGCGGUAAUACCAGCCCCCUGAGUGGUAAGGACGAUUAUUUGGCCUAAAGCGUCCGUAGCCGGCUUAUCAAGUCUUUUGUUAAAUCCAACGAUUCAAUCGUUGGGCUGCAAAAGAUACUGUUAUGCUAGAGGACGGGAGAGGUCGACGGUAGUCCAGGGGUAGGGGUGAAGUCCUAUAAUCCUUGGAGGACCACCAGUGGCGAAGGCGGUCGACUAGAACGUGCCUGACGGUGAGGGACGAAAGCUGGGGGAGCGAACCGGAUUAGAUACCCGGGUAGUCCCAGCUGUAAACGAUGCGGGCUAGGUGUUGGGGUAGCCACGAGCUGCCCCAGUGCCGCAGAGAAGUUGUUAAGCCCGCCGCCUGGGGAGUACGGCCGCAAGGCUGAAACUUAAAGGAAUUGGCGGGGGAGCAC
rnacentral:rRNA from 1 species